GGGUGCUUAGCUCAGUUGGGAGAGCGCCGCCCUUACAAGGCGAAGGUCGUGGGUUCAAAUCCCUCAGCACCCACCA
rnacentral:tRNA from 3 species